rnacentral:snoRNA from 1 species
ACUGACCUCUACAGUUCAAAGAAUCACUUUAGAGUAGACGUCCUCCAUUAAGCUCUUUAAAAGAGCCACAGAAUCUCCACCCUUGCUGAUGACUGUUAUGUCCUCGAUGCCCUAAAGUGAAGCCGAUAUACUUCCGCCUCGACCCUGCCAGGACACUCGAUGUUACGACUCGUUUUUGCGAGUCUAACGCGGCGUACUCCUGGCGUUUUGGGUCUAGGGAGUGGUGAUGAUCUUUACCUGGUUGUGAUGUCUUGACUUCGGUCGGUCCGACUUGGUGGGUGUCGAGGAGGUCUGAAAGGU